CCUGGGAACUGCAUUCGAAACUGGCAGGCUUGAGUCUUGUAGCGGGGGGUAGAAUUCCAGGUGUAGCGGUGAAAUGCGUAGAGAUCUGGAGGAAUACCGGUGGCGAAGGCGGCCCCCUGGACAAAGACUGACGCUCAGGUGCGAAAGCGUGGGGAGCAAACAGGAAUAGAUACCCUGGUAGUCCACGCCGGAAACGAUGUCUACUUGGAGGUUGUGCCCUUGAGGCGUGGCUUCCGGUGAGAACGCGUUAA
rnacentral:rRNA from 1 species